rnacentral:lncRNA from 1 species
CAUACACACGACUCUGCCUUCCUCGUCUACUGGAUGUGCUGCCUGGUUUCCUUCAAUAAAGGCUGCAGUUAUGAGCACAAUUCAUUCCAAGCAGCAGAAACUCAGCCGCACAUAUGGAAUUCUGGUCAGACUACGUACCUCCCAGAGCUGGAAAUAUUAUAAGGCUGCUGAACAUGGAUUUUAUAGAGCUUAUUAUAGAGUCUCUCGUAACUGGUAGGCUGGUAGGAAUGCUUUAUGAAACACAAGGUAAAAUCCUGAUGAGUUUGGCAGUUUCAUAACUGGACAAAUAUGCUAAGCUGACAUGAAGAGAAGAUAGUGGAAGACAGACAAUGAAGAAAUGGGGACAUGCCAAAG